CUUAGUGGUCUAUUUUUUACAGGCGUCUGUGCACCGUGGGUCAAUGCAAAGGGAGCUGUGGUGGGGUUCGUACUGUCGUUCAUCUUCAGUGUUUGGGUAGUUAUUGGUAAAUUUGUGCGAGGAGGGGGGUCGCCUCCCCGCCUGCCACUGUCUACUGAGGGCUGCCCGGAGAACCUUGCCCUCUUCCUUAACGCCACCGUCACCGGCCUCGUCAACAAUACCAUUCGUCUUGCUGAUACUACGUUGACGACCACCGCUCUGCCUGAUGCUGUGCCGGCCAACACCACAGCUGUCGAUGGAACUCAAUCUAACACUAUCUACGAGAUCUCCUACUGCUACACGGGAAUAAUUGCUGUGGCGCUGACAUUUAUAAUCAGCUC